GACGAACGCUGGCGGCGUGCUUAACACAUGCAAGUCGAACGGAAAGGCCCUGCUUUUGUGGGGUGCUCGAGUGGCGAACGGGUGAGUAACACGUGAGUAACCUGCCCUUGACUUUGGGAUAACUUCAGGAAACUGGGGCUAAUACCGGAUAGGAGCUCCUGCUGCAUGGUGGGGGUUGGAAAGUUUCGGCGGUUGGGGACGGACUCGCGGCUUAUCAGCUUGUUGGUGGGGUAGUGGCUUACCAAGGCUUUGACGGGUAGCCGGCCUGAGAGGGUGACCGGCCACAUUGGGACUGAGAUACGGCCCAGACUCCUACGGGAGGCAGCAGUGGGGAAUAUUGCGCAAUGGGCGGAAGCCUGAUGCAGCAACGCCGCGUGCGGGAUGACGGCCUUCGGGUUGUAAACCGCUUUCGCCUGUGACGAAGCGUGAGUGACGGUAAUGGGUAAAGAAGCACCGGCUAACUACGUG
rnacentral:rRNA from 1 species